UCCAUAGCUUCUAGCAGCAUACAUAUAGAGUUAUAGACAGUGCAAAAAUAGCCUAAUACAGGAAAAAACUCAUCAACUCUAUUCACUAUUCUUUCUAUAUAUGUAUAUAUAUUUGUCAAUCUCUGUAGCAGGGUGAAGAGGCUGCGUGGUGAUGAGUUGACAGAAGAUAGAGAGCACAGAUGAUGAGGUACACCGUCCGGCGGCCGGAGUGCAUGUGAUCGGAGAAUUGUUAGUAUAUUUAUUGUGUGUAUCUUCUUCUUUGUGCUCUCUAUUCUUCUGUCAUCACCGCCGGAUUCUCUCCACUCCAUACACGAGACACCUACCAAUUUCCACCGACCGGUACGAGGAGGAGUCGGGCAUCCACCUACCCAUUGGAAAUUUGUUAAUUUGUAUUUAUUGUGGAGAGUUUUUUUUUUUUUUUUUUGGAGAAUAUUGUGGAGAGUUUUAGUUCCAGCCAUGCUUGCCUCGACCGCGUUGACGUGUUUAGCCCGCAACCUUAACAUCUCCAAUCUCCGCGAAUAUAUUACACGCUACCCCAGAAAAAAUCCAAAGAGAAAAUGGCGCACCGCCCACACCACCCGCAUAGACACUCACCUCCGCCGCCGCCGGUAGUUCAUCACGUGCACCAUCCCCCGCCGCCGCCGGUAGUGCACCAUCCACCUCCGCCAGUAGUUCACGUGCACCACCCGCCGCCUCCGCCAGUAGUGCACCAUCCGCCCCCGCCGCCGGUUCACCAUCCGCAUCCUCCGCAUCACCACCACCACCAUCCCCACUAGAUACACUUCGGUCAUCUCUGAUCUGCAGAUCUGGUGCGUCCACAGUUGCGAUCGACUAUUUCACUAUUUCCAGCUUGAAUAAUAUGUGUCGUGAUGAAGUAAGCUAGCAGGUUCAGUUCCACGGUGAUGGAACAUAUACAUCUGAUCUGUGUCUGUCUGUCUGUGUUUUGUAUGAAAUUAUAGUAUCUGGGUCUUUUGAUUUCAGUCGGAAGUUCUAGGGUUCUACCACUGUACUAGAUAGUAUGAAACUAGGUUUCAUGUCGAUCGUGGACGCAACCAUUAUGUAUUGACUAAAUAAAUAUCUUUUUAGUUGUAUUUUAUAAGAAUCUGAUAAGUUCUAUUGGUUUCAA